rnacentral:lncRNA from 1 species
AAGGACACACAUACAUAGGGGGACGUAGUAAGCCUUACCCUUAAACGUAUAAAUAAAAACUAACUAAAUUUUACUCUACGAGGCCCCAAAGCUUCAAAAUCAUUAAUCACCGCCUCAUUGUCAACCGUUUCAGCAUAUUCAACCGCUUGAGCACUCUUUUUAUUAAACCAUGUACUUAUAUCUUUUGAUCUAGGCCUUCUAACACGAUCAAUGUGUUCAUCAUACAUUAUGUGAAAUUCAUCAAACAUAUCAUCUUCUAUUUCUGUCAAACAAAAAUGGAUGUGCCUUACAUAAAUAUCAACUGAUCAACAAUUCAACAUCAAGCUUUAAUCUUAACCAAAAAUAUAAAUAUAUAUCUGUGAAAGCAUGCCAAAAAAACAUAUAGUUAAGUAAUUAACUGAAUUCUAUUCCCUAUUCCAGUAUUCCCUAUUGAAUUCUAUUCCCUAAUUUAGUAAAACAACAAUCAAAAUUUAGGCAAACAACAAUCAAAAUUUAGUAAUCCCUAUUCCCUAAUGAAUUCUAUAGUUUGAUUCAAAUAAUCAAAAUUUAGGCAAAAAGCCAAUAGCCAUACCUGAGGUCUGAGGAUUGAGGAUUGAGGAAGACAUGAAGUCAGGAAGUAGGGAUCGGGGACUGCCGGACUGAGAAUCUGGGAUGGGCAUCGGCAGGAGCGACGGCCAAGGGCUGAAGGACGACGGGCGGCGAGAGCGACCGGCAAGAGCG